rnacentral:rRNA from 1 species
AUUGAACGCUGGCGGCAUGCCUUACACAUGCAAGUCGAACGGUAACAGGGAGCUUGCUCCGCUGACGAGUGGCGAACGGGUGAGUAAUGUAUCGGAACGUACCAUUCAGUGGGGGAUAACGUAGCGAAAGUUACGCUAAUACCGCAUAUUCUGUGAGCAGGAAAGCAGGGGAUCGCAAGACCUUGCGCUGAUUGAGCGGCCGAUAUCAGAUUAGCUAGUUGGUGAGGUAAAGGCUCACCAAGGCGACGAUCUGUAGCGGGUCUGAGAGGAUGAUCCGCCACACUGGAACUGAGACACGGUCCAGACUCCUACGGGAGGCAGCAGUGGGGAAUUUUGGACAAUGGGGGCAACCCUGAUCCAGCCAUGCCGCGUGAGUGAAGAAGGCCUCGGUUGUAAGUACUCUUCGGUCCGGGAAAACGUACGACAUCAGUUAAUACCUACGGUGUGGAGUGAUGGUACCGGAAUAAGAAGACACCGGCGUAACUACGUGCC